CCUUGGAGGAGUUUCCUUGGGUGUGUGUCUCCACUGUACCUCUGCACCCUCGGUGUUUCCUUUAUAGCAUCUGUCACGGUUGUAAUUACAGGGCCAUUUACUUGCCUGCUUGAUUUUCCCUAAGCCUCACUAGAUUGUCAGCUCGGUGAGGGCAGACAAUGAAACUGUUCGGUAACAAUGAAAGCUUUGGCACAACACGGAUGCUCAGUCCGCAGUGCCGACGGGAUGAGUUACUGGAUGGUUCUCUGAAGGACCUCCGGCCGAAGAGAGCAGACAAGCGUCCACGAGUGCAUCUUCGGACUGGGAUUCUCCUGCUUUGAUUUUGGCUGUGCAAACGAUGGUAUUCAUAUAUAUGAUAUGCUCAGGAUUUGGGGGUGUCGGUUAAAGGAAAACCAAAUUCUUAAAGGUAACACAUCACAGCAUUUAAAAACCUCUCGUUAACAAUUGUUCACCGCGUGCUGUGGCAGGAGUCAGGAAAGCUGUGAACAUUGCUGUGGCUCCUCUUCCUCCCUUUCAGAACUGAAUUGGCAGUCAGGAGUGGCACCAUGGUGGGAAUACCUUGGGUUCACUGCAAUUAAUUGAAAGCAAUUAGUAAUUUAAUUGUUAUUAGCCUCACCUUCUAUGAUACAUACUCCUGACUAUUUUGCUAUUCUAGAAGUCCUCUCUACUAAAUUCACUAAACACAAACAUUCCUUCACGUCUAUAUCCAAAAUCAAGCUGAAACAGAAACGGUGGCAGCACCCUUACUGAAAAGAUUUAUUAAGACAAAAGCUUGCUUUCAUGAAAGUGUUGAAAUCCGAUGUAAAAAGAAUGACCUGGAGGAGAAAGGACAAAUACAGAGAAAGGUCUUCAAAUCACUGGGAACAAACAGCCAUCUCUGGAGAUGCCUGAUCUGCUGAGACAGUGAAACUCAAGUGUGAGCAAAAAGGCUUAGUUCCCCUUCUCUGGCAUCUCAGGUAAGAUCAUUGACUGCGGUGCGUGGACGUCUGGAGCCCACUGCAGUUAAAAUAUAGAUGGAAAACCACAUCCGACUAAGUUUAGUUGACACUGGUCAGGAAACAAUCCAUUGGUAUUAUUUUCAAGAAGGGAAUUUUGCUGAUUUCAUUAUGACUCUAAAAAAGCCUCUUGAGCAUGUGCUUAACGAAAAGAGGCUGAUACUGUCAUUAGGCCUCCGAUCCAAACUGGAAAUGUGUCAUUAGGCCUCCGAUCCAAACUGGAAAUGUUUCCCCUGGAAAAUGCUUCCCAGCAAAACCACAGAGCACAUGGAAAAACCAAACCAGAGUUUCUCACCCACACUCCUUCUCUGGCUCUUCCUUGUGUAGCAUUUUAUGGAGAGGUACCUUCCAAAAAUAAACACCUUCUGUAGUCCUUACUGAUUCAUAUUUAAGGUCUAUAAAUGAUUCCUAGAUUGGAUACACCUACUUUGAACAUAUUUUCCAAAACCGAAAAGAAAUUUCUUGAAUGCAAGGAUACUGAUGGAAACAGCUAGAUAGAAUAUUUUAAAUGAGUACCAUUCUGUACAGUCUAGGCUCUUGUGGUGGUCUCCUGGCAAGCUAUUUAAAAGAAUAGCAAGACAGUACUUUUUAUAGAAUAAUAACCAGUCUGGAGCGGUUAUAUCAAAAAUCAACCCUCUGAAUUCACAAGAUGGUAAUUCUACUAAUUGGCACUAACGAGACAAACGAGGGGACUAGGUGUCGUGAAGAUACCGUAGAUCCCAAACCUGCCUUCUGAGGAAUUUCCUGGAGAGUUCAGAUUGUGAAAAUGGGACCGAGCUUCCCCAUCUUCUGCUCUACUCGGGUUACCUAGACCCUGAGCAAAGAAUUCCUGCGACCUGACUGGCUUCAUCUUUGUCUCUUAAGGAGGAAUUUGGGUGGUCGUUAAUUAACCAUCAAGUGGGAUUUGUAUUUCAGAGAACAUGUGAUUUAUGUUGUGUUAAAGCAGGCGUUUGAAUCAUGACUGGCUUUUACUUUUGAAGCCCUUCUUUUAAGAAGAGCACCUAGAGAAUUUAGGGCAUUUUUGAGCCAGUUGCCUGAAACAUCAGCAAUCAUUAAAAAUAAACCCCAGCUUUGAAAAAGUGAAUUAACAAGGGCCCCUGACGCCUAGUUAAUUUUACACGGAAGGAGCGGUUUAGCCAUCCCGCUCUCUUCUUAGCUGGAUUGUUCACAUUUGAGGCUCCACAGGGUACAGUGCCGCACUCUGAAGCAAGAGAAAGGAAAGUAUCAGCCUGCAGCGAGGGAAAUGGAUUCUUCCACCGCUGUGCGACCUUCAGGAUUUUAUCCUCUGUAGAUUGAAAAGAGCCCAGGCUCUAAACACCUGCUUAAACAUGCCUGAUUCACACGCAUGCUCUUAUCUGGACAGGGGUGAGCUGCCCACAUUGUCCCAUCUCUUUUAAGGGUGGUGUCUGAUUUUAUAUUUUUCUCUUGGUACUCUCUUGACAGUUUCUGAAAUCAAACCUAAAUGGCUUAGCCAGGACCCCUGGCAGGUAGUAAAGAGACAAGAUGAAUAUUUCUGGCCAGGUGCAUACUCCGCGUUCACUAACGUGUGUAUAGGUGGAAAGCAUGAACAGGCUAAAUUUAUUUCAUAUGGUCCUCUUGCUUCGAAAUAUCAAUCUUUGGCUAUAGGGUCGACUGUAAUCUAAGCAGAAUUGAUUCCAGCUCACAUGGUGCUAUCUCAUUCUCGAUGUCCUCAAAUGUUUGUCUCAUGAAAAAAUGACAGAGUCGCUGAUGAAAUCAGGGAAAAGUGUUUUGUUCAGGAGACAGUUAUUUUGCAAAAAAAAAGCACUCUCCCUUGGGUCCACUGGAAAAGGUUUUCAGACUUGAUGCUGACUCAUCUCUAUUCUUGAGAAGAAUUGAAGGCAUCCAUAGUUUUGAAUUUCCUUUAUCAUUCAAGUAAACCAAUUUAUUCCAACAACAGAUAGGACAGCCCUGAUCCUCUUAAGAGCAAGAAUAUAACAAGUACAAAAAGAAAACUUUUUUUAAAACUUACUUUUUACAACAUGCUUUUCUAAGUUAU
ensembl:lncRNA